UACAGGGGGUGCAAACGUUGCUCGGAAUUAUUGGGCGUAAAGCGCACGUAGGCGGUUUGUUAUGUCGGAUGUGAAAGCCCUUGGCUCAACUGAGGAAGUGCAUCCGAAACUGGCAAGCUAGAGUAUGUAAGAGGGUCGCGGAAUUCCCGGUGUAGAGGUGAAAUUCGUAGAUAUCGGGAGGAACACCGGUGGCGAAGGCGGCGACCUGGGACAACACUGACGCUGAGGUGCGAAAGCGUGGGGAGCAAACAGG
rnacentral:rRNA from 1 species